rnacentral:rRNA from 1 species
GUGAGGAAUUUUCCGCAAUGGGCGAAAGCCUGACGGAGCAAUGCCGCGUGAAGGAUGAAGGCCUAUGGGUUGUAAACUUCUUUUCUCAGAAAAGAAUUAUGACGGUAUCUGAGGAAUAAGCAUCGGCUAACUCUGUGCCAGCAGCCGCGGUAAGACAGAGGAUGCAAGCGUUAUCCGGAAUGAUUGGGCGUAAAGCGUCUGUAGGUUGUUUAAAAAGUAUUCUGUCAAAGAUUAGGGCUUAACCCUAGAUAGGCAGAAUAAACUUUUAAGCUAGAGUUUGGUAGAGGCAGAGGGAAUUCCCGGUGGAGCGGUGAAAUGCGUAGAUAUCGGGAGGAACACCAAAGGCGAAGGCACUCUGCUGGGCCAAUACUAACACUGAGAGACGAAAGCGAGGGGAGCAAAUGGGAUUAGAAACCCUGGUGGUCC